GAACAUGGACAAAAAAUUAUAGGUGGAUCUAAUCCUCUAAUCUCUUCUUGAUUCGUAUGGACAGUUCAUCAUGAACUACCAUAUGAAUAAAAUUGAUAGCAUUUUGUUCGAGUUACUGAAUAUACUGGUAACAGCAGAGGACACCUUGAAGAGUUCAAGGGAUACAGUUUUGGCUGUAAAGUAAACUUUCUCCAAAAGAAAGUCUUCUUUUAAGAAGAAGAAGAAGCCUACAAAGAAGCAAAAGAACG
rnacentral:lncRNA from 1 species